rnacentral:rRNA from 1 species
GAUGAACGCUGGCGGCGUGCCUAAAACAUGCAAGUCGAGCGAGAAGUUUGAAAAAUGAGUUUUCGAACAAGUGAUUCAAACGGAAAGCGGCGGACGGGUGAGUAACGCGUAGGCAACCUGCCCCGUGCAGAGGGACAGCCUCGGGAAACCGGGAUUAAGACCUCAUGAUAUCGGGUUAUCACAUGGUAAUCCGGUCAAAGAUUUAUCGGCAUGGGAUGGGCCUGCGUCUGAUUAGCUGGUUGGUGGGGUAACGGCCUACCAAGGCGACGAUCAGUAGCAGAACUGAGAGGUUAAUCUGCCACAUUGGAACUGAGACACGGUCCAAACUCCUACGGGAGGCAGCAGUGAGGAAUAUUGCACAAUGGGCGAAAGCCUGAUGCAGCAACGCCGCGUGAGCGAAGAAGGCCUUUGGGUCGUAAAGCUCUGUCCUUGGGGAAGAAACAAAUGACGGUACCCUUGGAGGAAGCCCCGGCUAACUACGUGCCAGCCGCCGCCGUAA